rnacentral:lncRNA from 1 species
GGCAAGAUGGCGCUCGGCUUGAGCCUAGCCAAAGUGAUUACCCUCAUUCCCGAACCGUGUCUGAGAGUCUCCUGGGGGUCCUGGCUUACUAUCGCACCGUGGCUCUUACAUGAAGUCAGUACAGCGUGUUUAAGCUGAUCUCACACGUGUGGCACACACUACCCAGUCCCAGGGAUCGAGUAAACUAAGACUCGGCCUUACACCCUGCCCCGGCCAGGGAGACAGUCCCACAAGCUCUAGCGGAGGAAAGAAAGUUCGCGCGAAAAGCAGACUCAAACCGCUGAACCUUCUGGGAAAUGUAGUCUACCCUCAAAAGAGUGGCACGGAGGACGGGCCAAGAUCUGUAGAUUCCGUCCGGUUCUGAGCCUGGGCCUGGCCCAGCCCAGGAGACCUCUGGGAGCGCUGCCCGCCGAAGGAGUGCGCAGGCGCGGACUCUCCGACUCGCCAUGGUGGUCUUUGUCUGCCGGCUUGCUUCCUUGUACAUCCUCAGGAGCUGCAAAACCUCUUAGAGUUCUAAGGGCUCUGCCUGAAUUUUGGGAUGCUGCUUUGUUCCCCAACCAUAACAUCCAAGUCCAGUGUGAUUUUUCUUCUCACAAGUUUAAAGUCAACACUUAAAAGAAGAACAGCAACAGAUGAUUGAGAAAGAAAUGUGAAGAAGGUUCUCUGUGAGUAAGCAAGAAGCUGGUAGGUGUGAAUGGGAUAAAGACUUACUGCAGUUAUUCAGUGAGAGUUUGCAGCCUCAGCCUCUGAGUUGUUGUGGGUUUUUGUUGUUGUUGUUUUGAGAUUUUUGUACUAGCCUUUGUCUUUUAGAGUGACUGUUGCUGGGAGUUCUUUAGAUACCUAAAUGACAUUUCCAGACCGUCUUCCUGAAUCUAUGCAUCCCUUUUAUCAGAUUCUAGAGGACUGAUUGCUCUUCUAAACUCUGUUCUGGAUGCCAGUCACUCUACAUCAUUCACAGUCUCACGUUUAUGAUUUUUUACAGCCUCAAUUUCACUUUUCUUCCUUUCACUAACAUUCUCCAUUUUUCACUUUUCCCGUAUGCCUAGAUGCAUUUCCUUAAGCAUUCAGUCCUUCAUAGAUCUGUUAGCUUUCAAAAACUAGCAUGUAAGCUCUUUUCUUUAAAAUGUAAUCUUUCUAUGUACAACUAUUAUGUAUCAAUAAAAAAAAUUUCGAAAACUAGCAAGUAGAUUCUUUACAUUUUAACUUUCUGUCAUUCUUUCUCCUUCCAUUGUUAUAUUCCUCAGAAUUGAAUUUUACUUCCUUACUCUUGUUUUCCAUUGUCUUCCUACCUCCAGCCAUCAUAGUCCAAUGCUGUGUCACCUCCUGCUUUUUAACAAUAUUGCAGG